rnacentral:piRNA from 1 species
UGCAGCAUAGUACAGAAGGCUCCAAUUGA